rnacentral:rRNA from 1 species
AUGGCGGAGCUACCAUGCAGUCGAGCGGUAGCACAGAGAGCUUGCUCUCGGGUGACGAGCGGCGGACGGGUGAGUAAUGUCUGGGAAACUGCCUGAUGGAGGGGGAUAACUACUGGAAACGGUAGCUAAUACCGCAUAACGUCGCAAGACCAAAGUGGGGGACCUUCGGGCCUCAUGCCAUCAGAUGUGCCCAGAUGGGAUUAGCUAGUAGGUGGGGUAAUGGCUCACCUAGGCGACGAUCCCUAGCUGGUCUGAGAGGAUGACCAGCCACACUGGAACUGAGACACGGUCCAGACUCCUACGGGAGGCAGCAGUGGGGAAUAUUGCACAAUGGGCGCAAGCCUGAUGCAGCCAUGCCGCGUGUAUGAAGAAGGCCUUCGGGUUGUAAAGUACUUUCAGCGAGGAGGAAGGCAUUAAGGUUAAUAACCUUGGUGAUUGACGUUACUCGCAGAAGAAGCACCGGCUAACUCCGUGCCAGCAGCCCGCGGUAAUACGGAGGGUGCAAGCGUUAAUCGGAAUUACUGGGCGUAAAGCGCACGCAGGCGGUCUGUCAAGUCGGAUGUGAAAUCCCCGGGCUCAACCUGGGAACUGCAUUCGAAACUGGCAGGCUAGAGUCUUGUAGAGGGGGGUAGAAUUCCAGGUGUAGCGGUGAAAUGCGUAGAGAUCUGGAGGAAUACCGGUGGCGAAGGCGGCCCCCUGGACAAAGACUGACGCUCAGGUGCGAAAGCGUGGGGAGCAAACAGGAUUAGAUACCCUGGUAGUCCACGCCGUAAACGAUGUCGACUUGGAGGUUGUGCCCUUGAGGCGUGGCUUCCGGAGCUAACGCGUUAAGUCGACCGCCUGGGGAGUACGGCCGCAAGGUUAAAACUCAAAUGAAUUGACGGGGGCCCGCACAAGCGGUGGAGCAUGUGGUUUAAUUCGAUGCAACGCGAAGAACCUUACCUACUCUUGACAUCCAGAGAACUUAGCAGAGAUGCUUUGGUGCCUUCGGGAACUCUGAGACAGGUGCUGCAUGGCUGUCGUCAGCUCGUGUUGUGAAAUGUUGGGUUAAGUCCCGCAACGAGCGCAACCCUUAUCCUUUGUUGCCAGCGGUUAGGCCGGGAACUCAAAGGAGACUGCCAGUGAUAAACUGGAGGAAGGUGGGGAUGACGUCAAGUCAUCAUGGCCCUUACGAGUAGGGCUACACACGUGCUACAAUGGCAUAUACAAAGAGAAGCGACCUCGCGAGAGCAAGCGGACCUCAUAAAGUAUGUCGUAGUCCGGAUUGGAGUCUGCAACUCGACUCCAUGAAGUCGGAAUCGCUAGUAAUCGUAGAUCAGAAUGCUACGGUGAAUACGUUCCCGGGCCUUGUACACACCGCCCGUCACACCAUGGGAGUGGGUUGCAAAAGAAGUAGGUAGCUUAACCUUCGGGAGGGCGCUUACCACUUUGUGAUUCAUGACUGGGGGAAGUCGAACAAGACAUGCCCA